rnacentral:rRNA from 2 species
GUGGAUCAGUGGCGAACGGGUGAGUAACACGUGGGCAAUCUGCCCUGCACUCUGGGACAAGCCCUGGAAACGGGGUCUAAUACCGGAUAUUACUGUCGCAGGCAUCUGUGAUGGUGGAAAGCUCCGGCGGUGCAGGAUGAGCCCGCGGCCUAUCAGCUUGUUGGUGGGGUGAUGGCCUACCAAGGCGACGACGGGUAGCCGGCCUGAGAGGGCGACCGGCCACACUGGGACUGAGACACGGCCCANACUNAUACGGGAGGCAGCAGUGGGGAAUAUUGCACAAUGGGCGAAAGCCUGAUGCAGCGACGCCGCGUGAGGGAUGACGGCCUUCGGGUUGUAAACCUCUUUCAGCAGGGAAGAAGCGAAAGUGACGGUACCUGCAGAAGAAGCACCGGCUAACUACGUGCCAGCAGCCGCGGUAAUACGUAGGGUGCGAGCGUUGUCCGGAAUUAUUGGGCGUAAAGAGCUCGUAGGCGGCUUGUCGCGUCGGAUGUGAAAGCCCGGGGCUUAACUCCGGGUCUGCAUUCGAUACGGGCAGGCUAGAGUUCGGUAGGGGAGAUCGGAAUUCCUGGUGUAGCGGUGAAAUGCGCAGAUAUCAGGAGGAACACCGGUGGCGAAGGCGGAUCUCUGGGCCGAUACUGACGCUGAGGAGCGAAAGCGUGGGGAGCG